AAUCAUUUAACUAUAAAAUAUAAGUAUAUAUUUUGAAAAUAUAUAAAAGAAUAAUUCUAAUGAUUU
rnacentral:tRNA from 1 species